rnacentral:rRNA from 1 species
AGGUGCUGCAUGGCUGUCGUCAGCUCGUGUCGUGCGAUGUUGGGUUAAGUCCCGCAACGAGCGCAACCCCUGUGAACUGUUGCCAUGGAGACGUGAGUCUCCGGCACUCUGUUCAGACUGCCCUGUUCAACGGGGAGGAAGGUGGGGACGACGUCAAGUCAGUAUGGCCCUUACGGCCAGGGCUGCACACGUACUACAAUGCCCGAAACAGAAGGAUCCGAGACCGCGAGGUGGAGGAAAUCACUAAAUUCGGGCCCAGUUCGGAUUGGAGGCUGCAACUCGCCUCCAUGAAGCCGGAAUCGCUAGUAAUGGCGCAUCAGCUACGGCGCCGUGAAUACGUUCCCGGGUCUUGUACACACCG